GGGCAUCUCUGAAUUAGAACUGCAUUUUUCUGUUUUUUGUAUUUUGUUUUCUUAGGGUGUAAUUUUCAUUUCACUGGAUGGUAUAGGUGCUAAACCGGAUUGCUGGACUGGACAAGAAAUCAUGAUUUCCUAAUAGUUUUGAAUAAGUGAAUUUGGGCAUUCUUGAGUUUCGAAAUGGAAUUUGUUGUGCUGGGGCACCUGCUGCUGUUUUGAGCAAGGUGCUUAAAGAUAAAGAGGGGCUGCCUCAGGUUUUACUAUGCCGAAUUGGAUUUCUCAAGGAAGCACUUCUUUUUCCCGCUGUUAAAAGUGGAGAUGAGAAAGUGAUAGGAGGACUUGCAUGCUUGAUGUCGGAAAUUGGUCAAGUUUUCUACAAGCAAACUGCUUUGGGAAAAUUGUAGACUCAUACUUGGCGCUCGUGGCGAUGCUUUUGAGCAUGAGGCAACUAGAAGAAUGCGUAAUGAAGUUAUGGUAGCUUGGGAUGGCUUGAGGUCAAAAGACAACCAGAGAAUCAUAGCAGGUUGAUUAACUAGUUCUUGAGGACUUGGUGCUAGAAACAUUGUAUGAUAGAUUUUUGUUUUAGCUAUAAGGUAGUUGGUAUUUUCAAUUUUGAAUCAGAAUAUGCA